UAUCAAACUUAGUGGCGCACGGGUGCGUAACGCGUAUGCAACCUACCUUCAACUGGGGAAUAGCCCCUCGAAAGAGGGAUUAAUACCCCAUAGUAAUUAGGUAAGGCAUCUUAUUUAGGUUAAAGUUCCGGCGGUUGAAGAUGGGCAUGCGUGACAUUAGCUAGUUGGUGAGGUAAUGGCUCACCAAGGCUACGAUGUCUAGGGGUUCUGAGAGGAUGAUCCCCCACACUGGUACUGAGACACGGACCAGACUCCUACGGGAGGCAGCAGUAAGGAAUAUUGGUCAAUGGACGCAAGUCUGAACCAGCCAUGCCGCGUGAAGGGUGACGGCCCUAUGGGUUGUAAACUUCUUUUGUACGGGAAUAAACCCUUCUACGUGUAGAAGGCUGAAUGUACCGUAAGAAUAAGGAUCGGCUAACUCCGUGCCAGCAGCCGCGGUAAUACGGAGGAUCCAAGCGUUAUCCGGAUUCAUUGGGUUUAAAGGGUGCGUAGGCGGAUUCGUAAGUCAGUGGUGAAAGCCUGCAGCUCAACUGCAGAACUGCCAUUGAUACUGCAAGUCUUGAGUACACUUGACGUGGGCGGAAUGUGUCAUGUAGCGGUGAAAUGCGUAGAUAUGACACAGAACACCGAUUGCGAAGGCAGCUCACGAAAUUGUAACUGACGCUGAGGCACGACAGCGUGGGGAUCAAACAGGAUUAGAUACCCUGGUAGUCCACGCCGUAAACUAUGAAUACUCGAUGUUGGCGAUAUACUGUCAGCGUCUA
rnacentral:rRNA from 1 species